rnacentral:rRNA from 1 species
GAUGAACGCUGGCGGCGUGCCUAAUACAUGCAAGUCGAGCGAACAGACGAGGAGCUUGCUCCUCUGACGUUAGCGGCGGACGGGUGAGUAACACGUGGAUAACCUACCUAUAAGACUGGGAUAACUUCGGGAAACCGGAGCUAAUACCGGAUAAUAUAUUGAACCGCAUGGUUCAAUAGUGAAAGACGGUUUUGCUGUCACUUAUAGAUGGAUCCGCGCCGCAUUAGCUAGUUGGUAAGGUAACGGCUUACCAAGGCAACGAUGCGUAGCCGACCUGAGAGAGUGAUCGUCCACACUGGAACUGAGACACGGUCCAGACUCCUACGGGAGGCAGCAGUAGGGAAUCUUCCGCAAUGGGCGAAAGCCUGACGGAGCAACGCCGCGUGAGUGAUGAAGGUCUUCGGAUCGUAAAACUCUGUUAUUAGGGAAGAACAAAUGUGUAAGUAACUAUGCACGUCUUGACGGUACCUAAUCAGAAAGCCACGGCUAACUACGUG